AGAGUUUGAUCAUGGCUCAGAGCGAACGCUGGCGGCGUGCUUAACACAUGCAAGUCGAACGCGCGGUUGUAGCAAUACAGCUGGCGCGUGGCGAACGGGUGCGUAACACGUGGAUAACCUUCCUUCAGGUGGGGAAUAACCCAGUGAAAAUUGGGCUAAUACCGCAUAACAUGACGAUGGCACAUGCUGUUGUCUUCAAAGGCGCAAGUCGCCAGAAGAGGGAUCCGCGGCCGAUUAGCUUGUUGGCGAGGUAAUGGCUCACCAAGGCAUUGAUCGGUAGCCGGACUGAGAGGUUGGCCGGCCACACUGGAACUGAGACACGGUCCAGACUCCUACGGGAGGCAGCAGUGGGGAAUCUUGCACAAUGGACGAAAGUCUGAUGCAGCAACGCCGCGUGGGGGAUGAAGCUUUUCGGAGUGUAAACCCCUUUCGACCCGGACGAAUGCCCGCAAGGGUUUGACGGUACGGGUAUAAGAAGCCCCGGCUAACUACGUGCCAGCAGCCGCGGUAAUACGUAGGGGGCCAGCGUUGCUCGGAAUUACUGGGCGUAAAGGGUCUGUAGGCGGUGCGGCAAGUCGGGAGUGAAAUCUCUGGGCUUAACCCAGAGGCUGCUUUCGAAACUGCCGCGCUAGAGUGUGAGAGAGGCGAGUGGAAUUACGGGUGUAGCGGUGAAAUGCGUAGAUAUCCGUAGGAACAUCCGAGGCGAAAGCGGCUCGCUGGAUCACAACUGACGCUGAUAGACGAAAGCUAGGGGAGCAAACAGGAUUAGAUACCCUAGUAGUCC
rnacentral:rRNA from 1 species